rnacentral:rRNA from 1 species
UACGUAGGGGGCUAGCGUUGUCCGGAUUUACUGGGCGUAAAGAGUGUGUAGGCGGUGCUCUAAGUUCGGUGUGAAAUCUCCUGCUUAACUGGGAGGGUGCGCCGAAAACUGGAAGGCUUGAGUAUGGGAGAGGUAAGCGGAAUUCCUGGUGUAGCGGUGAAAUGCGUAGAUAUCAGGAGGAACACCUGCGGUGUAGACGGCUUACUGGACCAUAACUGACGCUGAGGCACGAAAGCGUGGGUAGCAAACAGG